CCUACGGGAGGCAGCAGUGAGGAAUAUUGGUCAAUGGACGAGAGUCUGAACCAGCCAAGUAGCGUGAAGGAUGACUGCCCUAUGGGUUGUAAACUUCUUUUAUCUGGGAAUAAAAUGUUCCACGUGUGGGAUUUUGUAUGUACCAUAUGAAUAAGGAUCGGCUAACUCCGUGCCAGCAGCCGCGGUAAUACGGAGGAUCCGAGCGUUAUCCGGAUUUAUUGGGUUUAAAGGGAGCGUAGGUGGAUUGUUAAGUCAGUUGUGAAAGUUUGCGGCUCAACCGUAAAAUUGCAGUUGAAACUGGCAGUCUUGAGUACAGUAGAGGUGGGCGGAAUGCGUGGUGUAGCGGUGAAAUGCUUAGAUAUCACGAAGAACUCCGAUUGCGAAGGCAGUUCACUGGACUGCAACUGACACUGAGGCUCGAAAGUGUGGGUAUCAAACAGGAUUAGAUACCCCGGUAGUC
rnacentral:rRNA from 1 species